GGGAUUUAAUAGAAAGAGAUUGAUUACCCACUUUAAAAAAUCUCCCCGAGAUAACUUUUAGUUUACCCCUUUUAAAAUCCCCUGAAAUAACUUUUAGUUUACCCCCUUUUAAAAUACCCCUGAAAAAAAACUAAGUCCAAACCUAAAAAAAAUUUGGGCAGCACUUCCCCUAGGAAAUUAGCUUUUUAAACCCAAUUCCCCUAUUUCAGGACCAAAAGUUUGGGAUUGUCAGAGAAAGAAAUUGAGAAGAUGUGGGGCAGAUUCAUUUAUAGGAACAUGAACCAAACAUCAUCCCAAACCUACAGAUAGACAAAUAUAUUAUAUACACUGUACCUGGCAGGACACUUUCUUUUGGCAAAGCAUCUGUGGCUUUUCAUCAGAAUGUCUAAAGCGUUGAUUGGCUGACCAGUUUCAGAUGGAUUAAUAUCAGGUUCAUUUUGAAGAAGGGUCUGGCAUGAAAAUUUGAUAAAUUUAAUUCCAAAAGAUUGCAUUGUUCCAACAGUUGUGUUAUUGUCAUCAAUCUCGGUCCAGUCAUUUUUGCCGGUGGCCGAGCACAAAAUUUGUGUUGUGUAUUUUUUUUCAUCGAUGUUAGACAUUGGAUGAAUUUCAUUGCUAAUGUCAAAAAAGGUGUUACUUUCUGUAAAAUUUAGAAAUAUUUUUUUCUCCGCGAAAUGGUCACACUUUCCGCGUUGAACAUUGAAUAGGACGCGUUGUGUUGCCAUGUUCAAACACUGACAAACGAAAAUAACUACUGCGCAUGCUCCCGCAUAUAUAAUUAGCCAAGAAGAUUCCACUUUCCAGUACAUUCUAAAAAUAAGCCUCAAGUUUAAAAUUAGCGUUGUUUUCUUUUGGGGCGAUAAAAAGAUCGAGGGACUUAGAAUCUUUCAGAAAAAACGGUCGGUAGGUAUACAAAUUAUUUUUUUUCCCACAUCAGCUUUAAAAACUUUUGAGUCGGGGGGUCUGAAGGACGGUCGGUCGGGUGACCGGAAACACAACAUUUUUUUUUAGGCCUUAUACGACCCCCAUGACUGUAUUUCACAUUCAUUGGAAAUUUCAUGGAUUUAAUCACUUUUUGUCUACAUGUGCUUUUAUUAUUAGAAAGCUUCAUCUCAUUUCCAUGUGAAAGAAUUGAGGCAUUACUGGAGUGAUAUCAUAAAGUAAAGAAGUCCCAUCGAUUAUUAUUGCAGUUAAAAUUAAUUUUUUCAUGAUCGCACAUCAACGUGGGGGAUAUUGUCUGGAAGAGUUAAUUGAGCCUGAGUUGUCUUCCUUCUUUCAAAACUGUGAACAAAUGGCAACCAAAAAAUAUGUGAAUGACUCGAUUUACAAGUAUUUUUGCCAAGAAAACAGAAACAGAAACGAUAUUUGGAGGAAAUUAAUUCAGUGGCUCAUAGAAAUAACAAAAAAUAUCUUCCGAGUCAAUCAAUCUACGUUAUUGAUACACGUUUUUAAAGUUAACUGCUUCUUUCUCUAUGAAAAGUUUAUAUGGACAACCUAUGAUAUUUAUCUACAUUUUAUCAAAAUUUGUCUGCACAACUCGCUAUGGUUUCUGCAUUUUCAUGAAUCACAUACAAGGUGCAACAAAAAUAAACAGUAAGGGAAUACAUAGAAACAACAAAAAUGAUAACUAUAAGUUACUGUAUGGCCAUAUUGUAGAGUCUGCUAAAAAAUGGCCCAAAAAAUUACAAAUUUGAAAUACCAAAAAUUUCAAAUGGGGUUUAAACUAGUUUGACGGUGCCAAUGCUCCCUUUACCUUUCACAUCUGAUAUUAUUUUUUUACCUAGAGCUCUGUUAAAAAAAAGUGAUAAAAUAACAAAAAAUAAUAAGAAAACAAAAAUGUAAAAAAAAAAAUAUAUAUAUAUAAAAAUAAAAUACCCCAAAAAAUUGUAAAAGAAUUGAUAAAAUAAUAUGAAAAAAUAAAAUACCCAAAAUAAUAUGGAAAAAAAUUAAAUAAAUAAAAUAUCAAAAAAUAAUAUGAAAACAAAAUUGGAAAAAAAAUGAAAAAAUAAAAUGAAAAAAAAAAGCAAAAUUGUAAAAAAAUAAUGAAAAAAUAAUAUGAAAACAAAUACUAAAAAAAUAAAUUGAAAAAAUUAAAAAAUAAAAUACCCAAAAAUAAUAUGAAAACAAAAUUAAGAAUAGAGUUCUAGAUAAUAAACAUGGAGGGUUGUGUAAAAAAAUGGAUUAUUUUGAAUAUUAUUUAUGCCCUGCUGUACGUUCAUUCCAAAAUUGAUCUCGAUUCUCAUAACUUUAGCCUUAUUUUAGUAAAUGUAAUUGGUAUUGUCGUCUGAUAAGUCAUGUCGAUUAUAAGAUACACAGUUUUCUCUGCUGUCAAAUCUUUCUGUUUGAACCCGUCAACCUGGAACUUAUCAGUAAUUGGAAAUAUCAAUUAUUUGGAAAACAAAAGGUCCUGGCUAUCCAGGAAUGGAGUAUUUUUUAAUCAACAGCAUUGUCUUAUAUUAGUUAUCUUAGAAAGUCUUGCUGAUUGCUGAAUAAAACUACAAUAGGGAACAAUUUGACAAUGAUUGAAUUUAGUAGUGUCAGUCCUUUGAUUAUGAACUGUGUAUAUAGCAAAAUCCUAAAUACACCGUUUGGUGGUGGGCCUGUCAAAUGCGGAACGUACAGAUAAGGUAAUAGCUGAAUAUACUAUUUGUAUCGGUAUCGGAUUUGACCCGGAACUUGGCAAUAUUAAUUAUGCUGAAAACAAAAGGGUCUGGAGUGGUGUAAUUUUUAAUCUACACCAUUGUCUAUAUUAGUUAUAUAUAGAGUUGAAUUCUUUGAUUUGUCGUUUUUACCUGAUGACAGCUGACAAAUUGGACCUCGUAAUUUUAGUAUUAUAGAUGUAUAUACCCAAUAUAGCUAAUGGGGGCAUUAAGUGUUACUCUUGAGGUUUGUCUUUCUGUAUCCUUCUUUCCUAUUUUCCACUCCCCACUCUUACUUAAGCUGCCUUAAAUUUUAUAAAACUCGUACACAAUGAACAGAACCACAAUGCACAGAGAUCGAAUUCGGGCAGUGAGUCAUUUAUUGUUCUAGAGUUAUGUCCCUUUUUUACUUGGUAAAUUUUUAUUGUGAAGCUUGAGUGUCCUCAAACACGUUCCUCUUAAUCUUUUAUUAUUUAGGCACCACUUACUUUGUUUUUUCUUGGAAUAUUGUCAAAAAGCUGAAGAUUUUUCAUUUCAUAAUAAAAAAAAAACCAGUAUCCCCAACAAUUUUUAAACUUAUUUCACUGAUGUAUGGAUUUUUUUAAUCAAUAUUUACAUGUAACUAGUGUUAUUUUUAUACAACUGCAAAAUUUUAAAAAUAUUUGGUCGUAUAUUGGUAUCACGUUGUAUCCACGUCUGCGUCUUCCGAAGACAGAUGGUUUCCAGAUAAUAACUUUAGUUAACCCUUUAACCUUCAAGGAUUUUUAUCUUUUCUACCUGAUUAAAGGCUGUAUAAUUUCAAUCAAUUGUACAUUUCGUUGAGGCCAAUUUCCCAAAAAUUUGAUUAAAGGACAAUAAGUCUUUCGUAAGUCACGUGGUAUCUCUCAAAAAGUCAUGUGACAUGCUGAAUUAAAGUGAAAAAAAAUGUACAGUUUAAGCGGAAAAGAUGUUGUACAGACAUUUAGUUAGAAAAAUAGAACAUAGUUUUAGUGUAAAAGUAAUGCAUGAAGACUUUGGGAAACGUACUAGGUGAAAACUUUAUACAGAAAGAUGUAAAACCUGCCAGAUGGGUAGAAAUAUCUAUGCUUGAAACACCGAAAAAUAGUGGAAUUUUUGUCAAAGUCAAAUAAAUGGCCCAAGUUUAUGUAAAAGAUGUGGUAUUCACUACUGCUUACAGAAUGAUCGAACCUUUAAGAAAGAAUUUUCAGUGAAUAUAUUUAAUGAAAAUCUGUUAUGGUUUAGUUCCAAGGCUAAAAAUGUAACAAAAGCAGAGUGAGAGAAAAAAGGGGGGAGAGAAUUAAUUUUCUUAUAAGCUUAAUAAUGCAUUUCAGUUGUCAUAACUCUAAUUGAAAAAUAGCCUUUAUAUUACACAUCUUUUGGUGGUGCGGCAGCUAGUAUAUUUCAGGAAAAUGAAAAAAAAAUUGUGGAGAACUGUUAGAAAAAAUAUGAUACUGCUGAAAACUUAUGUUAUCCCUUACUGAAAAAUCAGCCUUCUGGCGAAUUGUUACGCCAGAUCUGCAGCAAACACUGCAAUAAGGUUGCUGCAAAUAGUUUGCCGCAACUACACUGUGACUUUUUACCAUGCAAAUGAAGGUUGGGGCAGACUUGCUGCAAAGUUUUAUAGACUAUGUAGUUUGGUGAACUUCUGGCAACUAUUUGUGAUGAACCUCUGGCAAACUUUGAUUGCCUUAUACAGUUUGUGGCGA
rnacentral:lncRNA from 1 species